rnacentral:rRNA from 1 species
GGGAAUUGCACUUCGCAUGGACGAAGUCUGACGGAGCAACGCCGCGUGAACGAUGAAGGCCUUCGGGUCGUAAAGUUCUGUUGUCAGAGAAGAACAAGUACCGGAGUAACUGCCGGUACCUUGACGGUACCUGACCAGAAAGCCACGGCUAACUACGUGCCAGCAGCCGCGGUAAUACGUAGGUGGCAAGCGUUGUCCGGAAUUAUUGGGCGUAAAGCGCGCGCAGGCGGUUCCUUAAGUCUGAUGUGAAAGCCCCCGGCUCAACCGGGGAGGGUCAUUGGAAACUGGGGAACUUGAGUGCAGAAGAGGAGAGCGGAAUUCCACGUGUAGCGGUGAAAUGCGUAGAGAUGUGGAGGAACACCAGUGGCGAAGGCGGCUCUCUGGUCUGUAACUGACGCUGAGGCGCGAAAGCGUGGGGAGCGAACAGGAUUAGAUACCCUGGUAGUCCACGCCGUAAACGAUGAGUGCUAAGUGUUAGAGGGUUUCCGCCCUUUAGUGCUGCAGCAAACGCAUUAAGCACUCCGCCUGGGGAGUACGGCCGCAAGGCUGAAACUCAAAGGAAUUGACGGGGGCCCGCACAAGCGGUGGAGCAUGUGGUUUAAUUCGAAGCAACGCGAAGAACCUUACCAGGUCUUGACAUCCUCUGACAACCCUAGAGAUAGGGCGUUCCCCUUCGGGGGACAGAGUGACAGGUGGUGCAUGGUUGUCGUCAGCUCGUGUCGUGAGAUGUUGGGUUAAGUCCCGCAACGAGCGCAACCCUUGAUCUUAGUUGCCAGCAUUCAGUUGGGCACUCUAAGGUGACUGCCGGUGACAAACCGGAGGAAGGUGGGGAUGACGUCAAAUCAUCAUGCCCCUUAUGACCUGGCUACACACGUGCUACAAUGGAUGGAACAAAGGGCCGCAAAACCGCGAGGUCGAGCCAAUCC